rnacentral:rRNA from 1 species
CAGGUGUUGCAUGGCUGUCGUCAGCUCGUGUCGUGAGAUGUUCGGUUAAGUCCGCUAACGAGCGCAACCCUCGCUGUGUGUUAUAUGUGUCACACAGGACUGCUGGUAUUAAGCCGGAGGAAGGUGGGGGACGACGUCAAGUCAGCAUGACCUUUAUAUCCAGGGCUACACACACGCUACAAUGGUCAGUACAAUGGGUUGCCAAGCCGCGAGGCGGAGCCAAUCCUAAAAAGCUGGCCUCAGUUCAGAUUGCAGUCUGAAACUCGACUGCAUGAAGUCGGAGUUGCUAGUAAACGCAGGUCAGCUAUACUGCGUUGAAUACGUUCCCGGGGCUU